rnacentral:rRNA from 1 species
GCUUGCUGGGGGAUUAGUGGCGAACGGGUGAGUAACACGUGAGUAACCUGCCCUUGACUCUGGGAUAAGCCUGGGAAACUGGGUCUAAUACCGGAUACGACCAUCUGGCGCAUGUCAUGGUGGUGGAAAGCUUUUGUGGUUUUGGAUGGACUCGCGGCCUAUCAGCUUGUUGGUGGGGUAAUGGCCUACCAAGGCGACGACGGGUAGCCGGCCUGAGAGGGUGACCGGCCACACUGGGACUGAGACACGGCCCAGACUCCUACGGGAGGCAGCAGUGGGGAAUAUUGCACAAUGGGCGCAAGCCUGAUGCAGCGACGCCGCGUGAGGGAUGACGGCCUUCGGGUUGUAAACCUCUUUCAGUAGGGAAGAAGCGUAAGUGACGGUACCUGCAGAAGAAGCGCCGGCUAACUACGUGCCAGCAGCCGCGGUAAUACGUAGGGCGCAAGCGUUAUCCGGAAUUAUUGGGCGUAAAGAGCUCGUAGGCGGUUUGUCGCGUCUGCUGUGAAAGACCGGGGCUCAACUCCGGUUCUGCAGUGGGUACGGGCAGACUAGAGUGCAGUAGGGGAGACUGGAAUUCCUGGUGUAGCGGUGAAAUGCGCAGAUAUCAGGAGGAACACCGAUGGCGAAGGCAGGUCUCUGGGCUGUAACUGACGCUGAGGAGCGAAAGCAUGGGGAGCGAACAGGAUUAGAUACCCUGGUAGUCCAUGCCGUAAACGUUGGGCACUAGGUGUGGGGGACAUUCCACGUUUUCCGCGCCGUAGCUAACGCAUUAAGUGCCCCGCC